rnacentral:rRNA from 1 species
AACGAACGCUGGCGGCAUGCCUAACGCAUGCAAGUCGAACGAGACCUUCGGGUCUAGUGGCGCACGGGUGCGUAACGCGUGGGAACCUGCCCUUAGGUUCGGAAUAACUCCCCGAAAGGGGUGCUAAUACCGGAUAAUGUCUUCGGACCAAAGAUUUAUCGCCUUUGGAUGGGCCCGCGUUGGAUUAGCUAGUUGGUAGGGUAAAAGCCUACCAAGGCGACGAUCCAUAGCUGGUCUGAGAGGAUGAUCAGCCACACUGGGACUGAGACACGGCCCAGACUCCUACGGGAGGCAGCAGUGGGGAAUAUUGGACAAUGGGCGAAAGCCUGAUCCAGCAAUGCCGCGUGAGUGAUGAAGGCCUUAGGGUUGUAAAGCUCUUUUACCCGGGAUGAUGAUGACAGUACCGGGAGAAUAAGCUCCGGCUAACUCCGUG